AAAAGAAAAGAAAAGAAAAGAAGUCCAUUUUCCACUAUAUUGUUCGGUUACCUUAUGUGAGGAAGCAAAUAGAAAAAAAAAAGUUUAUAAAGUAUAUUUGUACUGUUAUAUCCUGAUAAUAUAGCCUUUGCCAUUUAUAUGGUGUCAAAGGUAUAUUCGUAACUUCAAUCUCCAUAACUUUUUUACUUUCUCAUUUCCACCCUUUCACUCCAAAUUGGUGGAAAAUUAUUUGAGGUUUGGAUUUCCACUGU
rnacentral:misc_RNA from 1 species